rnacentral:rRNA from 1 species
GAGUUUGAUCAUGGCUCAGAUUGAACGCUGGCGGCAUGCCUUACACAUGCAAGUCGAACGGUAACAGGUCUUCGGAUGCUGACGAGUGGCGAACGGGUGAGUAAUACAUCGGAACGUGCCCGAUCGUGGGGGGAUAACGGAGCGAAAGCUUUGCUAAUACCGCAUACGAUCUACGGAUGAAAGCAGGGGACCGCAAGGCCUUGCGCGGACGGAGCGGCCGAUGGCAGAUUAGGUAGUUGGUGGGAUAAAAGCUUACCAAGCCGACGAUCUGUAGCUGGUCUGAGAGGACGACCAGCCACACUGGGACUGAGGACACGGCCCAGGACUCCUACGGGAGGCAGCAGUGGGAAUUUGGACAAUGGGCGAAAGCCUGAUCCAGCCAUGCCGCGUGCAGGAUGAAGGCCU